rnacentral:rRNA from 1 species
GAUGAACGCUGACAGAAUGCUUAACACAUGCAAGUCCACUUGAACUUCGGUUUGGGUGGCGGACGGGUGAGUAACGCGUAAAGAACUUGCCUCACAGAUAGGGACAACAUUUGGAAACGAAUGCUAAUACCUGGUAUUAUGAUUAUAUGGCAUCGUAUAAUUAUGAAAGCUAUAUGCGCUGUGAGAGAGCUUUGCGUCCCAUUAGCUAGUUGGAGAGGUAACGGCUCACCAAGGCGAUGAUGGGUAGCCGGCCUGAGAGGGUGAUCGGCCACAAGGGGACUGAGACACGGCCCUUACUCCUACGGGAGGCAGCAGUGGGGAAUAUUGGACAAUGGACCAAGAGUCUGAUCCAGCAAUUCUGUGUGCACGAUGAAGUUUUUCGGAAUGUAAAGUGCUUUCAGUUGGGAAGAAAAAAAUGACGGUACCAACAGAAGAAGUGACGGCUAAAUACGUG